ensembl:processed_transcript
AGUAGCUAGAGACACCCCGCAACUAGAGGCCGACGCCUCUGCUUCCUGCCACACCCAGUCGAGUGCUGAGGCCUCAGCAUCCCUCACACACGACCUGCAGGGCUUUUCCUGCUCCGCGGGGCCGCGGGGCCGCGCAGCCGCCAAGCUGCAAAUCCUUAAAAGCGCGGACCCGCCACGGGGGGCGGCGAGCACAACGGAACCUUAAGAUCCCGAGGGCCGAAGACAGGGAGAACCAAUUUCUCCGAUGCGCAAUGACGUCGCGACUGGGCGUGACGGGAGGGGCCCAGCGAGACCAGCGUCGGGUUAAGCCAAUCAGCAGGCAGCAGGAAGGGUCGCCACCCAAUGGGAGUGCUCUGUGGGCACGCCGGGGGCGGGACGGGUGCGUAAGACUUUUCGAGAAGACCCCGCAGAGAGCACGUUGUUCUCGGCCUCUCCCGGAGCUAGGCCAGCCAUGGCGGCGGUGAAGACCCUAAAUCCCAAGGCCGAGGUGGCCCGGGCCCAGGCAGCGCUGGCGGUGAACAUCAGCGCGGCUCGGGGCCUGCAGGAUGUUCUGAGGACCAACUUGGGUCCUAAGGGCACCAUGAAGAUGCUUGUAUCUGGUGCUGGGGACAUCAAACUUACUAAAGAUGGCAAUGUGCUGCUCCAUGAAAUGCAAAUUCAACACCCAACAGCCUCUUUGAUAGCAAAAGUGGCUACAGCCCAGGAUGACAUAACUGGCGAUGGCACUACAUCCAAUGUCCUCAUCAUUGGGGAGCUGCUCAAACAGGCGGAUCUGUACAUUUCUGAAGGUCUUCAUCCAAGAAUAAUAACUGAAGGUUUUGAAGCUGCAAAAGAAAAGGCACUCCAAGUUUUGGAACAAGUCAAAGUAAGCAAAGAGAUGGACAGAGAAACACUCAUCGAUGUGGCCAAGACAUCUCUGCGAACUAAAGUUCAUGCUGAACUUGCAGACGUCUUGACAGAGGCUGUAGUGGACUCCAUCUUGUCCAUUAGGAAAAAAGACGAGCCCAUUGACCUCUUCAUGGUUGAGAUCAUGGAGAUGAAGCAUAAAUCUGAAACCGAUACAAGCUUAAUCAGAGGGCUGGUUUUGGAUCAUGGGGCUCGGCAUCCUGAUAUGAAGAAAAGAGUAGAAAAUGCCUACAUCCUCACGUGCAACGUGUCCUUAGAGUACGAGAAAACAGAAGUGAAUUCUGGGUUUUUUUACAAGAGUGCAGAAGAGAGAGAAAAACUAGUAAAGGCUGAAAGAAAAUUCAUUGAAGAUAGAGUUAAAAAAAUCAUAGAACUGAAAAAGAAAGUCUGUGGUGACUCAGAUAAAGGAUUUGUCGUUAUUAAUCAAAAGGGGAUUGACCCCUUUUCUUUAGAUGCCCUUGCGAAAGAAGGUAUCGUAGCUCUGCGCAGAGCCAAGAGGAGAAACAUGGAAAGGCUGACACUUGCUUGUGGUGGGAUAGCUCUGAAUUCCUUUGAUGACCUGAAUCCUGACUGUUUGGGACAUGCAGGGCUUGUCUAUGAGUAUACUCUGGGUGAGGAGAAGUUCACCUUUAUUGAGAAGUGUAACAAUCCCCGUUCUGUCACUUUACUGGUUAAAGGACCAAAUAAGCACACACUGACUCAAAUCAAGGAUGCAAUAAGAGAUGGCUUGAGGGCUGUCAAAAAUGCUAUUGAUGAUGGUUCUUGCGCAAAACUCUGGUUUUGACCUUCAGGAAACAUUAGUUAAAGUUCAAGCUGAGCAUUCAGAAUCCGGUCAGCUCGUAGGUGUGGAUCUGAGCACAGGUGAGCCGAUGGUGGCAGCAGAAAUGGGUGUGUGGGAUAACUACUGCGUGAAGAAGCAGCUGCUGCACUCCUGUACUGUGAUCGCCACCAACAUUCUCCUGGUCGACGAGAUCAUGAGAGCCGGGAUGUCCUCUCUGAAGGGUUGAAGAAGUCUGCCUGUGAUGCUACAGAAUUUUGGGGGGAAAUGGUUAUUUUUGUCCAAGCUUCAAGUGAUUUGGAAGAUAAUUUUCUCUUCCUGAUUGAAGGAAAGGAACAGGACAUUUGGCACCUGCCAACUCAGGCUACAGGAGACCCCAACUUAAAAUAAUUUGUUUUGGAUGCAUUUGAAAUUAUCCAGCCCUCUCCCUGUUGAACAUGUAAGAUCCUUGCCAGUGUAAAACACAUCUGGUAAUUUAUGCGUUUCAUAGUGUCUAAUAAAGUGAAGCUACUGGAUCGUU